GUCCACGCUGUAAACGAUGGGCACUAGGCGUCGGGGGAGCGACCCCCCGGUGCCGUCGCUAACGCAAUAAGUGCCCCGCCUGGGGAGUACGGCCGCAAGGCUGAAACUCAAAGGAAUUGACGGGGGCCCGCACAAGCGGUGGAGCAUGUGGUUUAAUUCGAUGCAACGCGAAGAACCUUACCUGGGCUUGACAUGCACGUGCAAGCCGGUGGAAACACCGGCCCUCCUUCGGGACGCGUGCACAGGUGCUGCAUGGCUGUCGU
rnacentral:rRNA from 1 species